CAGGCCUGCGAGUCGACGGGACUCUGCAAACCCUACAAGGCGUAACGAAAGUGAACCCCCGGCGGUCUCCGCCGGCGGGUAGGCGAGAUCCCGGUCCCGCGGGGCCGGGCGCACCGCCGCCCCGUUCCCUUCGCGGUGCCUCCUCGUGGGGAUCGGCUGGGAGCGGAGGUAGAGCAGGCAUGCUAAAAUAUGCUCGGGCAGGGUGAGGCCAGAGGAAACUCUGGUGGAGGCCUGCCGCGGUUCUGACGUGCAAAUCGAUCGUCUGACCUGAGUAUAGGGGCGAAAGACCUAUCGAAC
rnacentral:rRNA from 1 species